UCUGUUGUUAUAAAUAUCAAUGUUUCAAAUCAGUAUGACCCUUCAAAAUCUUUGUUCAUUUUUUCAACAGAUACAACAAAUAUUACCUGUGUUAUAGGUUUGAAAAAUAUGUUUGGAGUAAAAUUGAUAUUAACAGAAUGUUUGGUUCCAAUUGCUCUUCAAAAGGCAUAUUGAGCUCAUGAAUCCACAUCCAAAGAAGAUCUCAGACCAUGUUUAGAAAGUGCUUAGCAGGCACUUGCGUUGAAUUUAUGAAGUGUUUAUUAGAUCACGUUCAGAGUACAUUAAAAUUCAUGGAUAAAUAAAAAUCUGCAUAUACCAAAAUAUGAACAAUGACACAUUGACAAACAUUAUUAUAUUUGCCAUUAAAAUAGCGGAGUAUAUUGGUUACAAGUUUUUAAUGAAAUGUAAACGAACUUAGCAAGAAAUCAUUCAAUAAUUCGAAUAAUAAAUAAUUCCAUAAUGAUAUGAUGCAACAUCAAUAUUUACUCAAUAUAAUAAAAAAUAAAUAUUCUCAACCAAUUUAAUUAUGAAACACACCGGAAGUAUUCAUACAAUAACUUCACACCUGCAUAAUGCAUAUAUAAAUAUUCUCAACAGUGAUUAUAAUAACUAUUUAUUUUUAGUUGAAAAUAGCUUUUAAAUAUUUGAAAAAUCUCGAGAAAAAUAUGAUACACUUUUAGAGGGCUAAUUUGAGGCUGAAAUGAGGAAGCGAAAAACCGAGUAGUUUGACGAGAUGAGACUGAUAAGCGGAAGAUAGAGCAGAAGAGAGACACUAUAGUGAUGGUAGUGGUUGUAGGAUGGAAGAGAAGAGAAAUGCAAGAGGGAGUGUGACAAUAGCCUGCAGAUUGGAGAGGCAGACGUACAGUCAGGCUGGUUGUACAGUCAAGAAUAUAAAAGCAAGAGAAACAGGAACGAUCGUUGAAAUCGCUAGCAGACUAUAAGUUUAUAAUACACUGUUGGCGCUGUCUGACCAUAGCCUGAUAUUACUACUCGUAUAAAUACAAAUAUCCUCAUUCGGGACCCAUCCUAGAGAUUCUUAUUUCCUUUUUCAAAUCUUUAUGUAAGUUUUAAACCAUUAGUAAGAGAUCUGGAUGAAUGUUUUAUAAAAUGAAAUAAAAAAACGAGAAAAAAAUAAUUUUCUUCAAUUGCAAACAGGAAGAGCUUUUUAGUAGCGAUAUUAUUAAGUCUAUCGGCAGUCAAUUUAGUGAAGAGAAAGACAUAGAAAACAACUUGGCGGGUAAUUCUCGGUAAAGACGACAGCCAAUUGGUUCGGCCAUUACCUGACAUUAUAUUUUAACGCUAGCAGGCAGAACGAAAUGCUUCCGGUAAUCAUUUUGCUGUCGGGCAUCUUUCGUUUUAGGCCAAGUUUCGUAUAAGUCUGAGCAAGAGAAGAAAGAGAAGAGAAACCGGAGGUGGACAAGUGGAUGCUGUGGGGGGAUAGAGGGGGGCUGCUGAGAGAAGAGUUUGGUAUAUAGAAGAUAGAAGGAAUGAAGGGUAGAGAAAACUUGGAAACGCGAGUCUGGGCCGGAAGAAGUCCGUCUCAGUGUUCGGAUGCCGUAGCUGUGGGGCGUAAUAUUGAUCAUGGAGUAAGCGGGGGUGUCUGCACUCCCCCUUAUCCCUCUUGGAAGUCGCACGGUGGAGAGAAAGAGCCGGUAACUGAGAGAAAGAGGAGCAACCCAUGGAGCUAGCAACCAGAGAGUGUUGCAACAGACCAACUGCAUCU